CACCCCUAACAGCUUAAGAAAAGGUUAGGGGCAUUUCAAUGAAUGUUUAAGUAACCCUUGCAGUUUCUCUAAGAGAAGAGGAAACAGCACUGACGUGUUUGCAUGGCUCACUGACUUUUGGACUAGCAGGUAGAAGCCUUGCAAUCACCUGCCUUUGGCUUUCAGAACUCUGAUGCUGCUUCUUUAAAAGCUAUCCAUUUCCACAGCCAGCCUGCUGCAGCUGCUGAACGUCACCAAGCAGCAUGAAUGAAUGCAAAGACUGGGAGGGCACAAAUUUCAAACAUACUUGGCUAGGUAGCUCUCUUUUUUUGCACACAACCAUUCCAGAUGCUCUGAGCACCGAGACUUCGGCUGGUUCUUUGAGUCCACAAAGGUCCUUUAGAUGCGUCAGCAAGCCUUUUCAGAUCGUAGGAUUUCCCCAGGCAAAAAACUUCAUCAGCUGGAUUUCACUGAAAUCAGGCAUGCUUACUCCCUUACUUAACAAACAUUGCCUAAUUUAUCUUCUUCUGCACUACAUUUCAGGAAUAUCUGUGCUUCUCCAUUGAACAGUGUCUGGUGUCCCCAGAUGAAACAAACACUCUUUGUUCUGCUCAAGACAUGUUAGGC
rnacentral:lncRNA from 1 species